rnacentral:rRNA from 1 species
GAUGAACGCUGGCGGCGUGCCUAAUACAUGCAAGUCGAGCGAACAGACGAGGAGCUUGCUCCUCUGACGUUAGCGGCGGACGGGUGAGUAACACGUGGAUAACCUACCUAUAAGACUGGGAUAACUUCGGGAAACCGGAGCUCAUACCGGAUAAUAUUUUUAACUGCAUGGUUCAGUAGUGAAAGACGGUUUUGCUGUCACUUAUAGAUGGAUCCGCGCCUCAUUAGCUAGUUGGUAAGGUAACGGCUUACCAAGGCAACGAUGCGUAGCCGACCUGAGAGGGUGAUCGGCCACACUGGAACUGAGACACGGUCCAGACUCCUACGGGAGGCAGCAGUAGGGAAUCUUCCGCAAUGGGCGAAAGCCUGACGGAGCAACGCCGCGUGAGUGAUGAAGGUCUUCGGAUCGUAAAACUCUGUUAUUAGGGAAGAACAAAUGUGUAAGUAACUAUGCACGUCUUGACGGUACCUAAUCAGAAAGCCACGGCUAACUACGUG